ACUCCUACGGGAGGCAGCAGUGGGGAAUUUUGGACAAUGGGGGCAACCCUGAUCCAGCCAUGCCGCGUGAGUGAAGAAGGCCUUCGGGUUGUAAAGCUCUUUCGGACGGAACGAAACGGUUGCGGUGAAUAUCCGCGACUAAUGACGGUACCGUAAGAAGAAGCACCGGCUAACUACGUGCCAGCAGCCGCGGUAAUACGUAGGGUGCGAGCGUUAAUCGGAAUUACUGGGCGUAAAGCGUGCGCAGGCGGUUCGCCAAGUCAGGUGUGAAAUCCCCGGGCUUAACCUGGGAAUUGCGCUUGAAACUAGCGGGCUUGAGUGCGGCAGAGGGGGGUGGAAUUCCACGUGUAGCAGUGAAAUGCGUAGAGAUGUGGAGGAACACCGAUGGCGAAGGCAGCCCCCUGGGUCGACACUGACGCUCAUGCACGAGAGCGUGGGGAGCAAACAGGAUUAGAUACCCUGGUAGUCCACGCCCUAAACGAUGUCGACUAGGUGUUGGGGAAGGAGACUUCCUUAGUACCGCAGCUAACGCGUGAAGUCGACCGCCUGGGGAGUACGGUCGCAAGAUUAAAACUCAAAUGAAUUGACGG
rnacentral:rRNA from 1 species